AUUGAACGCUGGCGGCAUGCCUUACACAUGCAAGUCGAACGGCAGCACGGGUGCUUGCACCUGGUGGCGAGUGGCGAACGGGUGAGUAAUACAUCGGAACGUACCUUAUCGUGGGGGAUAACGCAGCGAAAGCUGUGCUAAUACCGCAUACGCCCUGAGGGGGAAAGCGGGGGAUCGCAAGACCUCGCGCGAUUAGAGCGGCCGAUGCCUGAUUAGCUAGUUGGUGGGGUAAAAGCCCACCAAGGCGACGAUCAGUAGCUGGUCUGAGAGGACGAUCAGCCACACUGGGACUGAGACGCGGCCCAGACUCCUACGGGAGGCAGCAGUGGGGAAUUUUGGACAAUGGGGGCAACCCUGAUCCAGCAAUGCCGCGUGAGUGAAGAAGGCCUUCGGGUUGUAAAGCUCUUUUGCCUGGGAAGAAACACCGGCUCUAACACAGUCCGGGAAUGACGGUACCUGAAGAAUAAGCACCGGCUAACUACGUGCCAGCCGCCGCAGUAA
rnacentral:rRNA from 1 species